rnacentral:rRNA from 1 species
CAAUAGCGUAUAUUAAAGUUGUUGCAGUUAAAAAGCUCGUAGUUGGAUUUGUGGCGUACGGUGUGUUCCGGGCACUUGUUGUCUGAGUAACCUGCUGUUGCCAUCCUUGGGUGGAACCUGUGUGGCAUUAGGUUGUCGUGCAGGGGAUGCCCAUCAUUUACUGUGAAAAAAUUAGAGUGUUCAAAGCAGGCUUAUGCCGUUGAAUAUAUUAGCAUGGAAUAAUGAGAUAGGACUUUUUUGCUAUUUUGUUGGUUUGCGCAAAGAGGUAAUGAUUAAUAGGGACAGUUGGGGGUAUUCGUAUUCCAUUGUCAGAGGUGAAAUUCUUGGAUUUUUGGAAGACGAACUACUGCGAAAGCAUUUACCAAGGAUGUUUACAUUAA